rnacentral:rRNA from 1 species
AACGAACGCUGGCGGCGUGCCUAACACAUGCAAGUCGAACGAUGAAGCCUAGCUUGCUAGGUCGAUUAGUGGCGAACGGGUGAGUAAUAUAUCGGAACGUAUCCAAUAAUGGGGGAUAACUAGUCGAAAGAUUGGCUAAUACCGCAUACGUCCUACGGGAGAAAGCUGGGGAUCGUAAGACCUGGCGUUAAUGGAGCGGCCGAUAUCUGAUUAGCUAGUUGGUGAGGUAAAGGCUCACCAAGGCGACGAUCAGUAGCUGGUCUGAGAGGACGACCAGCCACACUGGAACUGAGACACGGUCCAGACUCCUACGGGAGGCAGCAGUGGGGAAUUUUGGACAAUGGGCGAAAGCCUGAUCCAGCCAUUCCGCGUGAGUGAAGAAGGCCUUCGGGUUGUAAAGCUCUUUCGCAAGGGAAGAACACUUACUUAAUAACACUAAGUGAGGUUGACGGUACCUUGAUAAGGAGCACCGGCUAACUACGUGCCAGCCGCCGCAGUAACAC